UACGUAGGGACCGAGCGUUGUCCGGAAUCAUUGGGCGUAAAGAGCGUGUAGGCGGCUCGCUAAGUCUUGCGUGAAAUCUCGGGGCUCAACCCCGAGCGGUCGUGAGAAACUGGCGGGCUAGAGUGCGGGAGAGGAGAGUGGAAUUCCUGGUGUAGCGGUGAAAUGCGUAGAUAUCAGGAGGAACACCGGUGGCGAAGGCGGCUCUCUGGACCGCAACUGACGCUGAGGCGCGAAAGCUAGGGGAGCAAACAGG
rnacentral:rRNA from 1 species